CCACAAUGAAAGUAGAUGUCCGUUGGCCAUAAACGGGAUCACUAUCAUUGUGA
rnacentral:pre_miRNA from 1 species